AGUAGCGAAGUUCCUGAUGUCACACUGCCAAGAAAAGCUUCUAGUGAGAAAGUAACUGCCCGUACCGCAAACCGACACAGGUAGUUGAGGAGAGAAUCCUAAGGUGUGCGAGAGAACUCUCGUUAAGGAACUCGGCAAAAUGACCCCGUAACUUCGGGAGAAGGGGUGCUGACCGCAAGGUCAGCCGCAGUGAAUAGGCCCAAGCGACUGUUUAUCAAAAACACAGGUCUCUGCAAAAUCGAAAGAUGACGUAUAGGGGCUGACGCCUGCCCGGUGCUGGAAGGUUAAGAGGAGAGGUUAGCGCAAGCGAAGCUUUGAAUUGAAGCCCCAGUAAACGGCGGCCGUAACGAUAACGGUCCUAAGGUAGCGAAAUUCCUUGUCGGGUAAGUUCCGACCCGCACGAAAGGCGUAACGAUUUGGGCACUGUCUCAACGAGAGACUCGGUGAAAUUAUAGUACCAGUGAAGAUGCUGGUUACCCGCGACAGGACGGAAAGACCCCAUGGAGCUUUACUGCAGUUUGAUAUUGCGUGUUUGUAUCACAUGUACAGGAUAGGUAGGAGCCGAAGAUACCGGGACGCCAGUCUCGGAGGAGGCAACGGUGGGAUACUACCCUUGUGAUAUGACCACUCUAACCCGCUGCUCUUAGCGAGCAGGGAGACAGUGUCAGACGGGCAGUUUGACUGGGGCGGUCGCCUCCAAAAAUGUAACGGAGGCGCCCAAAGGUUCCCUCAGAAUGGUUGGAAAUCAUUCGUAGAGUGUAAAGGCAGAAGGGAGCUUGACUGCGAGACCUACAAGUCGAGCAGGGACGAAAGUCGGGCUUAGUGAUCCGGUGGUUCCGCAUGGAAGGGCCAUCGCUCAACGGAUAAAAGCUACCCUGGGGAUAACAGGCUUAUCUCCCCCAAGAGUUCACAUCGACGGGGAGGUUUGGCACCUCGAUGUCGGCUCAUCGCAUCCUGGGGCUGUAGUCGGUCCCAAGGGUUGGGCUGUUCGCCCAUUAAAGCGGUACGCGAGCUGGGUUCAGAACGUCGUGAGACAGUUCGGUCCCUAUCCGUCGCGGGCGUUGGAAAUUUGAGAGGAGCUGUCCUUAGUACGAGAGGACCGGGAUGGACGCACCGCUGGUGUACCAGUUGUUCUGCCAAGAGCAUCGCUGGGUAGCUAUGUGUGGACGGGAUAAACGCUGAAAGCAUCUAAGCGUGAAGCCCCCCUCAAGAUGGGAUUUCCCAUCACUUUAAGUGAGUAAGACCCCUGAGAGAUGAUCAGGUAGAUAGGUUGGGAGUGGAAGUACAGCGAUGUAUGGAGCGGACCAAUACUAAUCGGUCGAGGACUUAAUC
rnacentral:rRNA from 1 species